UACAGAGGUCUCAAGCGUUGUUCGGAUUCAUUGGGCGUAAAGGGUGCGUAGGCGGCGCGGUAAGUCGGGUGUGAAAGCCCCCGGCUCAACUGGGGAGGGUCACUCGAUACUGAUCGACUCGAAGGCAGAAGAGGGAAGCGGAAUUCCCGGUGUAGUGGUGAAAUGCGUAGAUAUCGGGAGGAACACCAGUGGCGAAGGCGACUUCCUGGCCUGUUCUUGACGCUGAGGCGCGAAAGCUAGGGUAGCAAACGGG
rnacentral:rRNA from 1 species